rnacentral:rRNA from 1 species
AGCGACGCCGCGUGAGGGAUGACGGCCUUCGGGUUGUAAACCUCUUUCAGUAGGGAAGAAGCGAAAGUGACGGUACCUGCAGAAGAAGCACCGGCUAACUACGUGCCAGCAGCCGCGGUAAUACGUAGGGUGCGAGCGUUAUCCGGAAUUAUUGGGCGUAAAGAGCUCGUAGGCGGUUUGUCGCGUCUGUCGUGAAAGUCCGGGGCUUAACCCCGGAUCUGCGGUGGGUACGGGCAGACUAGAGUGCAGUAGGGGAGACUGGAAUUCCUGGUGUAGCGGUGGAAUGCGCAGAUAUCAGGAGGAACACCGAUGGCGAAGGCAGGUCUCUGGGCUGUAACUGACGCUGAGGAGCGAAAGCAUGGGGAGCGAACAGGAUUAGAUACCCUGGUAGUCCAUGCCGUAAACGUUGGGCACUAGGUGUGGGGACCAUUCCACGGUUUCCGCGCCGCAGCUAACGCAUUAAGUGCCCCGCCUGGGGAGUACGGCCGCAAGGCUAAAACUCAAAGGAAUUGACGGGGGCCCGCACAAGCGGCGGAGCAUGCGGAUUAAUUCGAUGCAACGCGAAGAACCUUACCAAGGCUUGACAUGUUCUCGAUCGCCGUAGAGAUACGGUUUCCCCUUUGGGGCGGGUUCACAGGUGGUGCAUGGUUGUCGUCAGCUCGUGUCGUGAGAUGUUGGGUUAAGUCCCGCAACGAGCGCAACCCUCGUUCCAUGUUGCCAGCACGUAGUGGUGGGGACUCAUGGGAGACUGCCGGGGUCAACUCGGAGGAAGGUGAGGACGACGUCAAAUCAUCAUGCCCCUUAUGUCUUGGGCUUCACGCAUGCUACAAUGGCCGGUACAAUGGGUUGCGAUACUGUGAGGU